rnacentral:misc_RNA from 1 species
CUUGGCUGAACUUUGUAGGGGUAGGAUUAAUUGAAUCAUCAGGUUUCUCAAUUCUGCUACAGUGUUUGGACUUGAUCUUAUAUAUAAGAACAGAAGAGGUUACUGCAGCCCCUAAGCACAACUAAGUAUUGGCGAGUAACAGAACCCAAAGCAACUGCUGAAAACAGAGAACAAAUUCAAAUAAUCCUACCCCUACAAAGUUCAGCCAAGAAUGGGGAAGAUUCGAGUGAUGUGCUCUAAUGGUAUACCAUCUGCAGUAUUUUUCUUCAGCUCAGGAUGGUUAAAUUCAUUGCUGGGUAGAACAAUGAGUUGGCCCUUAACAUGCCCUUUCUCUACACUCCAACCACAAUUGGUUAUCUGCUGUUCAAGGAGUUUGUCCAAGGACAGACCUUCAAUGUUGAUAGCCUCAGCCAGCACAGACCGGGGAACCUUUUGAUAAGUCAAGGAAAGCAGAUGAAUAGCAUAUGAUUGGAUUGCUAGCUCAAAACCUGGCACUGCUUCAACUAUG